AAGUGUUACAGCUUUUUUAGAAGUUGUCUAGCAGGUUUUCGGGGGGGGGGUUUCUGGAACCCCC